ACGGAAGGCAGCAGUGGGGAAUAUUGGGCAAUGGGCGAAAGCCUGACCCAGCGACGCCGCGUGAAGGAAGAAGGCCCUCGGGUUGUAAACUUCUGUAGACAGGGACGAAAACAAUGACGGUACCUGUAAAGUAAGCCACGGCUAACUACGUGCCAGCAGCCGCGGUAAUACGUAGGUGGCGAGCGUUAUCCGGAUUUACUGGGUGUAAAGGGUGUGUAGGCGGAAGAUCAAGUCAGAUGUGAAAAUUAUGGGCUCAACCCAUAACUUGCAUUUGAAACUGAUUUCCUUGAGUGUGGGAGAGGUAAAUGGAAUUCCCAGUGUAACGGUGAAAUGCGUAGAUAUUGGGAGGAACACCAGUGGCGAAGGCGGUUUACUGGACUGUAACUGACACUGAGGCUCGAAAGCGUGGGGAGCAAACAGGAUUAGAUACCCUGGUA
rnacentral:rRNA from 1 species